CCCCUAGCAACCCCAAGGGGCGGGGCCACGGCGCCCGGGGGCGGGGUUUGGCUACUUCAUGGAUUGCGCAGUCGCAACCAGACCUGUUUCUCUGUCCCACUAUCCACCGCUGCCGCAGGACGGCUACAUCUAGUCUCUUUGGUCUUCUUUCCAUUUGUCUCCAACAGAAAUCUGAGGAAGCUAAGCCGUGCGUGGUAGAGGACGCUUGUAGUUCCAGCCCUUGGGAUGAUGAGUCAGGAGGAUCACUGAGUUCGAGACCAGACUGGGGCUACAGAAACACUGCCUCUAAACACAACACAUAUUCCAAAAUAAUCUGAUGGGGAAGAUUUUGCAAAGCCUGGGAAAAGCCCUAAGGAACCACCACCAGUCCCGGGCUUUGAAUGCCGCAGAACGUGUGUAGUUGUGGCCUGCUGCUGCCUGCCACCUUGCACAUCAAGGAUGGAAGAAGAGUGUCUCCCUAGGACCCACGGUGGGCAGAAGGUCUUCCACAGUACAAAGUCACAAAGAGGAUCUCAGGUCACUCUUAAGUGGAAGAAGACACGCCCUAGCUUGACGAGUACAGAGUCCAGACCGUGGAUCUAAAGCGGUCCAACGCCCACGGGACGCUUGCUAUUCUGUCUUCCCGGCGAGUAUUGCAGCAUCGCUUUCGCUUGUUCCCAACUGCGAUCAUCAUGACUGUAAUCGCAUGAGUCUGAGGAAGUGCGCUCGUCCCCCGGAAGCGUGACGCUACAUUUCUGGCCACCGCACCCUGCCGUCUUCCCUCUCUCUGCCUGGACUGUUUGCAGAGCGCAGCCCAGGGCCUUGCAUUUGCCGCCUCUAGUGGCGAAGCAGGUGGGUUACAGGGAGCUGAAUUCAGAAGGCAGAGUCCAGGCUCCCACCACCGGGAAGAGCCGCCUCCAGAUGACGAAGUCCAGGACCGAGGGUGAGCAAUUCGCCUGCCGUCCUCUGUGGGAGGACGUCAGCAGGCAGUGCGUGCCACCAGCACCUGGCCCAUCUUUGCUAACUGCCAAGACCUAACCAGUCUUCAUCUUUCAUGACGUCUGUGCUUCCAAACGGACUGCAUACAAAUGCAAAGGGUUCUGGUUUAAAUGUUCAUCCAAAUCCCAAAUAAAAGUUUCCAUUGUG